AUAAAAAUUAAUUUUUGUUCAAUAAAUAUACUAUUAUUUUAAUGAUAGUAUGUUUAUUGAACAAAAAUGAAUGUUCAUUUUUUUAAAAAAAAUACAGAAACAAAAUUAUUUAAAAACAUAAAGAUUCUGAAAGCAUUGAAUGAGAUCCAUUAAUAAUUUGGUAUAGCUUUAACGUAGUAACAAACAAAUAAAUAUGAUAUUUUAUCAUAUGAUAUGAAUAAUAUCAUAUUUUUAAAUAUGAUGGUUUCAUUAUAAAUAUGGUUAUUAUCUCUAAGGUGGACACCCAACCUGAUGAUAUUUACCAACGGAAUCUAACAAUGUCAUGUCAACAAAUGGAAAAGUCAGCCGGCUGUUUAUUAUCAUGUUAAAUAUUGUGCCUUUCGCUGCAACAGAAAGGGCGCCUUUUACCCCAAAUACCAAACAUUUACAUAUUCUUAAUUGUCUUAAAAUAAUUAACAAGACCUUUGUCUCAAAAUAUAUUCAAUAAAUUUUUAGUUCUCAUUUGCUACAUAAAUCUACAACAUUUAAAAAAAACAAAAACAAAAACAUUAAAUAUUAGAUCAAAUUAGCGCAGAAUCAACUUUGCAUUUCUGUCCGUGAUCGCAUCAAGGCUCAGCCAAAUUUCUACGUACAUCAUCAAAAGCGGUUAAGAAAAGUGCUUUUACACUGGUGUGCCUUUGUCCCCAUUGUACCCUUUAUAAUAUAGAUUUAUGCUGUAUGAUAUUAAAUUAAACGUCUAAUACUUUCAUUCAAGAUGAGGCAGCUCAAAGAGUGAGGGAGAGCCCACUGAGAAUCAGACAGUUACAGGAAGACUGUUAAACUGGCUGACAGUAAAGGAAUAUGCUAGAGUGUGAUAAGAAGUAAGAUAGACAUUAAAUUAUUUGAAUGGAAGAGUAAUUACAACAACAUAAAUUGAAUUAGCACUAAAGCCUAACAAUUUUAUUUACAGUAUGAUUGUAAAAGGUUUGUUAUUCAUUCUCUAUAUUAAGAUGAUACUGCCUCAGAGUCAACCCUCUUAUAGUGCCCCUUUUUUGGUUUGGGCCACUGCCCCUCAAAAUGUCUGUGCAUGGCCCUGCAUAUAAGCACCAGGGGCGUUUCCUCCGAGGAGGCAAGGCAGGAAGUGCCUCCUCAAAAAAACUGGAUGAGAAAAUAAUGUUACAAAAUUUGACAUUAAAAAGUGUAAAAGUCACUUGUUUUUCUAAAGAAACAGCGUCAAACAGCAACACCAGCAGGUAAAGUUACAGCAGGGAGUCCAUGUGUCUGUGCCUCCCUUCAGCUCACAGAAAUAAAGCAGAGCCUCUAUAGCAUGCGGUGGGUUUAGUGGGGGGUAAUUGAGAAUGAAUGGGGGAAAGUCACGUGAGAGGAGGCAAUGCCUCAAUUGUGCUAUGAUUGGAUAUGAUCGGUUAUGAUUAGACAUGAUUGGUUCGUGUGAUAAAUCCCGCCUCUUGUUUUCGUGCACGUUCUCGACGAAUCGGCCUGAAUGAAGACAGUGAUGCCGUUAAUAGGAAGACUAAUUAAAAAGUAAGUAAACAACUGUCACUUACAUAUCACCGCUUUAUUUCAUGUCAAAAUCAAACUUGAAAUGGCCAGAAAACAUGAUGACUCAGGAUUUUUUUAGUGAGCAAUCAGCGUGGUGAAAUUAAAGGUACAUCUUCAUGUCUGUGACCACUGACCAGUGUGUACGUACAAGCUUGAUGACUGCUGAAAAUAAAUUAACUAUUAAAAAGAAAAGCUGAAUAUUAGUUUAUAAAUAAUAUACAUUGUUUAAAUUGUUACUGCCUUUAGUUAUUAUUUUGGAAAAAAUGUAAAAACACUAACUUGAUGAAAUUUAUACUUGGUUUUAAUAAAUAGAACAUUACAUAGUGUAAAAAUAACAAAAUAGAAUUGUAUUUGGUCUCUCUUUUUAUGUAAUGUUAACUUAAAAUUGUGUAACAGGGACAUAAAUGAGGACUUUGCCUUCUCAUUUUAAAACACCAUCGCACACCUGUCACUGAGUCAGUUCCCACCACCUUCACGCAAAGAUCAUCGUCACCGGAUCUCCACGCUCCGCCCACUCGUUCCCAAUCACCAGAGUUCUAAUCGACGACACCUGCACCGCAUUACACCAGCACUAUAUAGACUCUCACUUACGUCACCUCACUGUCUGGUUCACACUUACCUGGACUCCUUACCCCUUCUGAUAUCUCCGUGUCUCCACUUGAUCGUCAUGUCUCGUCUUCCUCCAGCGUAUAACCUGUUAAAGAGAAAGGACUCAUUAUCUGUUCAGCUAAGUGACUGUCAUCAACGUGCUCAUAUCUGCAAACUACUUACCAGUGUUGUUCCUGUGUUCGUGCCUCUGUUUCAAAAUAAACAAAGUGUUAACUGUGACCCUCUUGUUCCCGUCUGUUGUCUGACAGAAGACCAGACCUCAUGCAGGGCUCCACGAACACAGGUGAGGAUCGCACCACGGAUCCGUUUGCCACGCUGGUGAAUGCGGUGCGAUCCUCCCUCACAACACCUCCCAUGAGCACUUCACCAACAGUCACUCCGGACCUCGUGCACACCGUUUGCCUAGCACUACAACUCUCAGCACCCACUGCACCUACUUCAUCAGCUGCCUCUGCCAGUCCCAUGGCCCGACCAGCGACAUUCACCGGCAGGGCGGAGGACUGCAGCGGGUUUCUCUUACAAUGCUCAUUGUAUCUGGAAGCACAAUCUCAUCUCUUCACGACGGAACGUGCCAAGGUGGUGUUUAUAAUAUCCCUCCUCUCCGGACGAGCAUUACAAUGGGCUCAACCCCUUUGGGAAUCCGACACUCCUGUAACCGCCACAAUCCGUGAUUUCUUCAAUCCUUUCCGAGAAGUGUUUGGACAAAAUUCGGCUGACCUGUCCGUACAUGUCCGUACAACUAUUUAACUUACGUCAAGGAGAAGAAACUGUGAGUAUGUAUGCACUACGUUUCCGCACGCUGGCGGCUGCCAGCAGUUGGAAUGAAACUGCACUGAUUACAGCAUUUCGACAAGGACUCACUCCUAAAGUAAAGGAAUUAAUGGUCAUGUACGAUGACACUAUGGGUCUUGAAUGCCUUAUACAGAAAUCCAUCAGAGUGGCUCAACGGAUCUCAGCAUGUUCUCUCCACCCGCUGUCAAUUCUCUGACCAUCUGUCGCCCCUCCAGCACCUGAACCGAUGCAGGUGGACUCAUUCUGCCUCACCCGAGCGGAGCGUCAACGAAGAAUUCAACAACGCCUGUGUCUUUAUUGUGGGGGAGAAGAACAUGUCAUCGCAGUGUGUCCCAUUCGACCACCACGCCCAGCGCGCAAGCUCUCAUAGAUUCUGGAUCAGCAGGAAACUUCAUCAGCACCCAAGUUCUACAAAAGCUCAACAUACACCGUAAUCGCUGUCAGCAGAACCUUCAAAUUCAGACCAUUCAGGGCAAGCCGCUGGGUCGUGGUCGCAUCACUCACUUCUCCCCCACACUGACGCUCCGCAUCGGUUGCCUGCACUUGGAGGACAUAACAUUUGUGGUGCUGGAGGGAUCUACUGGAGGGAUCUACUGCUGACAUCAUCCUGGGACACCCACGCAACAUCUCCCUCAAAUUCAGUGGAACACCGGGGAGAUCCUGAAAUGGGGUGAUGAUUGUUUCCAUUCCUGCAUGUCUUCUAUCCAGAAAUCUACCAUGAAAGUUCAAGCUGAUCCUUCCCACUCCAAGUAUGUUCCUCUUAUGUCAACUUCCAUUGAAAGUCCAGAGACUAACCGUAAUGUUGAAAUUCCUCCAGAAUACCGGGCGUUCCAGGAUGUCUUCAGUAAACGACUGGCUACUCAACUUCCACCUCAUCGGCCAUGGGACUGUGCCAUCGACCUGCUACCUGGGGCUACUCUACCUAAGGGUAGAGUUUACCCAUUGUCCAUCCCGGAGCAAAAGGCCAUGGAGGAGUACGUCAAGGAAGCCCUCAACCAACGAUUCAUCCAUCCAUCGACUUCCCCUGCUGCUUCAAGCUUCUUCUUCGUGGCCAAGAAGGACGGAGGCUUGAGGCCGUGCAUUGACUACCGCCAUCUUAACUCCCAAACCGUCAAGUUCAGCUAUCCCCUUCCUCUGGUCCCCGCAGCCCUGGAACAGCUGCGUGGAGCUCGCAUCUUCUCCAAGCUGGACCAGAGGAGCGCGUACAACCUCAUUCGCAUCCACCGGGGGGAUGAAUGGAAGACCGCCUUUGUAACACCAUCUGGCCACUAUGAAUACAGGGUUAUGCCGUAUGGCCUGUCCAACUCUCCCUCUGUGUUCCAAAGCUACAUGAAUGAGGUGUUCCAGGAGUUCCUCCAGAAGAUCGUCAUAGUCUACAUCGAUGACAUCCUCAUCUACUCCCGGAACGAGGCCGAACAUCGCCAACACUUCUCCUAGGUCCUAGAGAAGCUCUGUGAACAUCAUCUCUACCUCAAGCUGGAGAAGUGCGAGUUCCAUACCACCUCCGUUCACUUCCUUGGUUACAUCAUCGACUCACACGGCAUCAAGAUGGACCAGAGGAAGGUGGACACCAUCCAUAACUGGCCACUCCCGUCUACAGUCAAAUAGUUACAACGUUUCCUGGGUUUUGCCAAUUUCUACCGACGCUUCGUUCACAGCUACAGUCUUCUCAGUGCACCCCUCACGUCACUACUCAAGAGCCGGCCCAAGUCUCUGUCCUGAAACCCAUCUGCCCGAGAAGCCUUCCAUCAGCUCAAAGAAGCUUUCCAAACCGCUCUGAUCCUGGUCCAUCCUAACCCUGAGCUCCCCUUCGUCGUGGAGGUUGAUGCCUCAUCCACCGGGGUUGGAGCAGUACUGUCCCAGCGGCAGGGUGAACCACCACGGCGCCUUUUACUCUAAGAAGCUAUCCUCGGUGGAGCAGAACUACGACAUCGGUAACAGGGAACUGCUCACCAUCAAGUUAGCCUUGGAGGAAUGGAGACACUGGCUGGAGGGAGCGCUUCAUCCAUUUGAAGUCAUCACAGACCACCGUAACCUAGAAUACCUACGGGAAGCCAGAAGACUCAAUCAUCGUCAAGCUCGCUGGGCCCUGUUCUUUACAAGAUUCAACUUCACUGUCACCUAUCGUCCUGGAGAUAAGAAUGGUAAAGCUGAUGCUCUCUCUCGCUUGUACCAACCUGAUCCAGAAAGGAUCCAGAGCCCAUCCUCCCUCCAGCCAUGAUUGUCAGUCCCAUCCAAUGGACCGUCAACCAGUAGAUCUCCGAGGCUAACUCCACCGACCCUGCUCCACAGGGAGGUCCUGAGGUCCUCUACGUUCCACCAACUCACCGUCAAAAAACCUGCAAACUCAUUCCCUUAAAGGGACUACCUACAGCACUGGAGGCCACGGAGGCUUUAUUCAACCAGGUGUUUUGUCACUUUGGAAUACCAGAGGAUAUCGUCUCGGAUCGCGGGCCUCAAUUCAUCUCUUGAGUCUGGAAGGCUUUCUUCAAGCUCCUAGGAGUGUCAGCUUGUCAUCUGGAUACCACCCUCAGACCAAUGGCCAGACUGAGCGGAAGAUCCAGGUGAUCGGGAGAUACCUGCGGGUAUACUGCCACCGGAACCAGGACAGCUGGAGCCAGUUCCUGCCCUGGGCAGAAUAUGCCCAGAACUCCCUCCGUCAGACCACCACAGGGCUCACCCCGUUCCAGUGCGUCCUGGGUUUCCAACCUCCACUCUUCCCAUGGUCGGGUGAGCCCUCAGAGGUUCCAACUGGUUCCAGCAGAGCGAGAGAGUGUGGGACUCAGCUCAUGUACAUCUCCAACAGGCAGUUCAGAGACACAAACAACAGGCUGAUGCCAGAAGAGGCCCAACUCCACGGUACCAACCUGGCCAGAAGGUAUGGCUCUCGACCCGGGACAUCCGUCUCCGACUGCUCUGUCGCAAGCUGAGUCCCCGGUACAUAGGUCCCUUCACCAUCCAGAGGCAGCUCAACGAAGUCACCUCCCGGCUCAACUUGCCCCCACAGUAUCGUAUCUCACCUUCAUUCCAUGUAUCACUGUUAAAGCCUCACACUGAACCCUUGUCUCCUCCCUCCACAGAUCCCGGUGACGAUGCGGUACCUCCUCCUCCCGAGAUCGUCGAAGGCGAGAACAUCUACCGGGUGCGGACGAUCCUUGACUCUCGACGACGGGGUCCAGCGCUGGAGUACCUAGUCGACUGGGAGGACUACGGCCCCGAGGAGCAGUCCUGGGUAAAUCGUCAUGAUAUCCUAGAUCCAUCUCUUCUCACACAGUUCCACCAAGACCAUCCUGACCGUCCUGCUCCUCGGGGUCGAGGUUGACCCUGUCAUCGGCAUCCCAUCCGGUCGUCAGGAGCCACCCGUGGAGGAGGGGGUACUGUCACAGAGUCAGUUCCCAUCACCUUCACGCAAAGAUCAUCGUCACUGGAUCUCCACGCUCCGCCCACUCAUUCCCAAUCACCAGAGUUCUAAUCGACGACACCUGCACCGCAUUACACCAGAACUAUAUAGACUCUCACUUACCUCACCUCAGUGUCUGGUCUUGUUCACACUUACCUGGACUCCUUACCCCUUCUUAUGUCUCUGUGUCUCCACUCUAUCGUCAAGUCUCAUCUUCCUCCAGCGUGUAACCUGUUAAAGAGAAAGGACUCAUUAUCUGUUCAGCUAAGUGACUGUCAUCAACGUGCUCAUAUCUGCAAACUACUUACCAGUGUUGUUCCUGUGUUCGUGCCUCUGUUUCAAAAUAAACAAAGUGUUAACUGU